UAUUUUGUAUUGGUUAGAAUUUUGUUCAGUUACAUAAAACAGAAAACAAUAGUGGCUUAAGCAAGAUGGGAUUUUCUUUCUUUCUCUCACUGAAAAAAAAGGUCUAGAAAUGAUCAGUUCAGGGCUGGUUUGGUGACUUCAGGUGUCACCAGGGACCUACGCUUCUUCUGGCUCAUCCUGCCCCUAUUCCUAAAGUGCAGCUCUCAUUCUCAUGUCUUGUGGUAGUUGCUAGAGUGAUAGUCACCACAUCCUCAUUUAAGAAAGUAGGAUGGAGAAAGGAGGGUGAAUAAAGGGCACACCCCCUCCUGUUAAGGAGCUGGCUUCGAAGUCCCAUAUGACACCCACUUGCAUCCAUUGUCCGGAACCCAGCCACAUGAUCACACUUUGCUGCAAAAUUGCCAGGGGAACGUAGUUUUCAGCUGGGUGGAAAAGGGAUCAGCAAAAAAUUGGUUUUGUUACUAAGAAAGAGGGAAUGGAUACUGUAGAGCAAUGAGCAGUUUCUAACAUACAUGUGAACAAAAUUAUCAAAAGAAAUACAAAUGUAAAAGAUUUCAGGGUCAACCUUACCAACAGUCAAAUAUAAGUAAAGCAGGUGGCCUUUUAUGGUCUUGUCUGGCUAAGGUAUUGAAGAGCUGGCCAGACAAGUCAUGAAGACAGUCAAGAACUGACUGUCUUCAUAAGGACCGACUGUCUUCAUAAGAACCUUGGGACAAUGCACAUGAACAGAACAGAGUUUCAGGGUAAAAAUGGCCCUUUCUCCCCAACUAGAUGGCUCAAGGACCCAAGGGCCACUUCCUGGCUGUUCCCCCAAAGUCUCCCUCCAACUCCCAAGUGACAUCAGAUUCUGUAAAUGCUGGGAAGUAGAGAAAAAUUCUGUACCCAGGGAUUCUCUAACUAAACUAUGGCUAAAAUUAAAUUUUAGGUGUUUUUGAAAGUUCCUUUAAAAAAGUAAUAUCCUCAUGCAAACUGAAUCAGCAGUUUCAGAACUUAAAAAAAAAAAAAGAACCUCUGUCGUAUUCUUGGGGUAUCACAAAUUAAACAUGAAAACCAGCCACUAAAAUAAGGACCAGUGUUUGGAUACUACAUGGGGGUGAUGUUAGGCAACCUCAAGUUAUGUCUUUUGGCAGAUUCAGGACUUUAUGUGAGCUCCCACAGAUGGUGAUGUCAAUGCCACCACCCUUCAGAAGGCACAGAGAAGGAAAGUGCAGAGGACACGGCAAGUGUGGAUUCCACAGGCUUCUGAAGUUCAUAGGCCUAUUUUGAAUAGUUAUUGUGCCUUUCUCAAUCCAGACCAGCAUCAGUUACCUCUCACGAUUUAUUUGAAAGCAUUUACUUCUAGUGUUUGCUCUUUUUAAAUGGUUGCUGAUUGGGAAAAAUACCAGAGUAAACUGAUGUUUCAUGAAGUCUGGGGGAGACGAUCUUUAGGGCAUGGGAAGCAAUAUGAUAUAAUGACGAAACGUGCCCAUGCUUUGGAAUCAGAAACACCUGGAUUUGAGACCUAGCUCUGUGGUUUACCAGCUGUGUGUUCUGGGACAAGUUAUUAAACUUCUCUGGGGCUCAGGUUACUUGUCUUAAGAUGGGCUAAUACAGUGCUUACCUCGUUGUAUCAUCAAGUUGGGUAGGAAACAGAUGGUGAACUUGGACUGGGACUGUUUACAAAGGUGUGGGGAGGGCUCAGGGAAAUCAAGAUGAGACAGUGAAGCAUAUGGGGGCUAGCAACAAUGGGGAGCUGUUACCACUUGUAACCUGAAGGUAUGAAGGAAGGGAAUAAAUGGGUAAGGGGACCCAAAGGAGGCAGCUAUUGGAAGGGUGUCUGGCAGGAGCUGUGGGCUCCAGUGGAGGAUGCAGUUGGCCUAAAGCGACCUGAUAGGGACCCGGGGGAAUAACUUAACCACUUGCCCUCCUCGGGGAACUCCUGACCUCAUCUUCCUGAGUCCUUCCAUCUCUUGCUAAUGCUCCCCAUGGACCAAAUCUAACUAGAAUCCAGAGGCAAGAUAGAUGAGUGAUGUGGCCCAUUCAGGUCAGCCUCCCAACCCAGAGCAGGUAGAGAGGACGGAGAGUGGAUCUGCAGGGGCAAACAGAAGAUUAAUCAAAAUAGAGACUGUGAUGAGGUUAGCAUAAUGCCUGGAACAUAGUAAGUCCACAAGUCCUCAACAAAUGUUAAUUUAUUUUGGACUUUGGACUCUCUGUCUGCCUGUUUUGCUUAUUGCUUACUUCCUGGUUUUCAUCAGCUCAUGUAUAGUUGAGAUAACUUCCAAAUAAUCAAGUAUUGUUAUCUAUAUUGGAGUGUUUUGAAGGAGUAAUGAGUGUAUAAAAAAGAUAACCAGAUACUCUGGGGAUUAGAGAUGACAGAGGGAAACAGAGGAAGGGGAGUAAGUAAGAGAAAAGGAUGGAGAAAACUGUAUGUUCCCUAUGAGGCUGGAAUGAACGCAAGAUUAUCUUACUUUAAAAUCAAAUCAUGCACUUAUUGGGAUGUGAUAACAGUGCGUUUGCAAUUUUACAGCCCAGUGAGACUUGCCAGAAAGGGAUUUUGCAAGGAAGGUCUUCCUGCCCUAAAGGAAAACCUAGUGCUUACUUCCAGAUUAAUAAGUCUUAACCCAUCAUGCCUGCUCCCCCAAAACCAAGUAGUCAAAUGUGUUAACCUGGAUGUUUAAAUACCUGCAUGUUCCUGCCUGGGUGCCUGGGUCAGGUGAAUGUUCUAUUCUGAUUUGGGAAAUGGCUAGAGUGUGUUGGUCGUCGCCUGGGAUAGCUCCCAGGUAGGAAGGGAGCCCCAGAGAGUGGUCUGAACAGUGACUCAUAAACUCAGUGUCCUUUCCUCCAGCCUUUACCAGCUGCUGACUUGGCCCCUUAGGAAUCUGUCUUCAUUCCGCAAGCUAUUCUCCAGUGUCUGGUUCAGGCUCUAGAGCAGAGCAUUCCAGGCUUUCUGUGAUUCCUGGCCACCUGUUCCAUCUCCAAGACCCUCCAGCAUCCUUCUCUCAUUUGCUUACCCUACCCUCCAGGCCUUUGCACAGGCCACUCUCUGUGCCUGGGACAUACAUUCUCCUUCUGGCUAACCUUCCGCAGCCUCCAGGACCUCUCAGGUGUCCUCUCCUCUGGGAGCCCUGCUGGACUGCCCACGGGGAGUUGGGAAGCCCUUCUGUAUGCUCCUGUUAGCCCUCUUUGAUUCUCUCACUCACAGCACUUCCACACUGUCUUGGUUUCCUGGCUCAUCUCUCCCAACACACUGGACACCCCUUGAGAAGAGACUUGACAUAUUCAUCUUGAUUUUAAUGCCAUCCGGCAAAAUUCCUGGCACUCAGAGGGCAUGCAAUAAAACUUUACUGAAUGAAGGUUUAGCGCGUAAUUCAGAAAAUAAGCAAGAAAGUGUCACAAACACCAAAGCAAGUUAACCAAGCUAUAUGUUCUAGAACAUUCUUCCUCUCCUCCUGUCACUCUGGCUCUCCUGCGCCUACAGCAGACAGGACAGAGUCUGCUCUUUCACCUGCUCUUUUCUAGUCUUUUCUUUCAGGUAUCCCCUGAAAUGCCACUUCCUCAGAGGCUAUCCUUGACUACCCAAUCCAAAGCAGUCACUCAGUCACUUGAUUACACUUCAGUCUAUUUUAAUUUGUUAGAGAGCACUUACUGCUAGCACCAAUGUUUUAUUUCUGUGUUUUCUUUCUAUCUCCACCAUUAUGCUGUAGCUCCAUUUGAGUAGGGACCUUGUCUGUUCACUACUGUAUGCCCAGCAUCUAGUACAGUGUGUGGCAGAGAGUCAAGUGUUCAUUAAAUACUUGUUAAAUGAAUGCAUGCCACUGUUACUGCAUGCUGAGUUAAUUUGAUGUAUGGCUUCUAUCACUGCUAUCAGAUUAGGUGCUCUAGAGAAACUCAGAAAGGGCUGAGUCUCCUUAUGACAUUGCAGGGUGGGAGGGGGACCUCAGUUCCCUUCCUAGGCCUAAGUGGGAUAUGCUGCCUGCUUGCAGCUUCCUUGUGGCCUGGACUUCCCCAUGGAGGCCAGAUGCUGAGCAACCCCAGCCCAUGUGUCUGAAGGCUCUGAAUACCGAAAUGUUCCUCUAGCUUUCUGUGAGAGCAGUUGGAGCUGCCCAUUGCCUACACUGAUAGAGGAAUGUGCCCAGGGCUCCUGGCUGGCCUGGCACCCAGCAGGAGGCAGGCACAGUGGCCAGCACGGUGAGGACACAUCACACUUCUUCUUUUUCCCAUAUCCCUAUGCUGAGAGUGCAUGCAGCUGCCUGGCUGGGAGCAGAAACUGGCCUCACUUUCUGGGGCCUGCUGGGCAGACAAUGCAGCUCUCUAGCUGUGCCACAGAACAGGGCAAAUCUUUACUAGCUGUGGACUCACUCCCUGCCCCUCCCAUUCCUGCAGAAAUUGCUCUACCAGCUCAGCAGAGGGCCAGGUCUGGAAUCUCUCACCUGUCCCUGGCCCUUCCUUUAAGCCCUCUGGUUUACUGGAAAUCAUAAACUGUGAGACACAGCCUUUAUCACACCCUGAACAGUUCACUCUUAAUAUUUAAUGCUGGAGGCUAAAACAACCAGGGACACUGGAGGCCUCCUGCUUACUCUCAGUGACUGAUGUUUGCACCUGGUAAUUGAGGUCAGGUUGCUUCUCUUAAGUCACAUGAUUUGCAUCAAAGCAGGAAGGUGUCGGGGCCACUUGUUGCAAAGAGACCAGGAGGCGAUCCCAGCAACGCUGCAAACCAGCUUUGGCAGCAAAGGCUGUGCUUUCAUGGGAGCCAGCCCUAGGAGUGUGGAGCUGGGCUGGCAGCUGGUAAAUGACCCUCUCGGGGCCUGAAUAAACCCUAGCUUUUCACUCACAGCAAACUCAGGAUGCCUUCCUCCCUCUAAAAGACCUGCUGAAUUGAGUCACUUUCAAUCCUUUCUGGAGUAGGAUGGGGCAUUAGUUAAUUAACAAAUUAAUUAAGCAUGCUAAAUAGUCACCCAGAAGAUACUGGUCACUUAAGGGUCUCCAAAUCACAGUAUAGGUCCCACCCUACCCAGACACCUAAUCUUGUUUCAGGGUUUGCUUGACCUCAGGCAUUUAUCUCCUGGUUGUCAUGGAAUCUGCUCAGAUAAACAGCAGCACACCAACCUGGCCCCUCUGCCAGCCUCAGAUCCUUCUAAGGCAGUGGAGCUCCCUGGUGGCCACCAGCCACCCGGGCUCCAGGCAGCCCAACACACACUCCCAUGCUGAGGUCUCUCGCAUGACCUCUCUAGGCACACAGUAGGUGCUCAGUAAAUGCUGUGGCAUGAAGGACCCUCCUGGAGUGUCUGAGUUCUCAGGCUUCAAGGCCCCUAGAUAAGCAGAUUUCUCUCCCCUAUCACCAUAGUCACCCCAGGGACUGCAGGGCAGGCCGAAAUCAGCCAGUGACUCAGCUCCUUGGGCAAUUCAGCUGGCCCACAGACCACUUCCUCUGCUCCCCAGCGCCGGAUGGAUGCAGAUCUGUGAGUAAGGAGCCAGCUGCAGGCAAGCAGCUCGAGGGCAGGUGGGCAUGAUGUCUGGCUACCACUCGCACUGGACGCCACACACACAGCCAGGGUGGCAGAAGGCCCCACCUGCCAUGUGCCAGUGGGACACCACCCUCAUGGUCUGCGUUUCCAGGUUUCCAACUAAGGACUGAGCACACUCUCAACAUGGACCUCCUAACUGCUCUCGAGGAUGGACAGCUGGCCUCAAGGGAACACUGCAAAGUGGCUCUAGGAAGAAGCCACUGUCCCUCCAGACCAUAAAAAUGGCUACCAAGGGCAGAGCCAGCAGCUUUCGCUGUAAAGUUUCUCAAGAAAAUCACAGAUAUUCCCCUCUGUGAUGUUCAGCUCAGCCUGGAAAGGAGAGGUAGAAACUGAGAGUUGAAGAGGCUGAAUAAUUUCUCAAGCACACUCCCAACUCGACCACCCACAAGCAAAAAGGCAGAGCUGGGAUUCAAACACAGGAAUGACAAAGGAAUGCAUAAAGAACUUCAAAGUUCAACUCCUCGAACUUCAAACUUCAAAUCCCCAACUCCUCCUGCCUAUGCUGGACGAUUAGGGCAGUAACAGGAGUCAACUUGUGCUGUGCUGUCACCUUGCCUGGAUCCGCAUCAGCCCUGCAGCUCCCACUUUGGAGGAGACUUGCCCAGGGACCUACAGCUCUGAAGCUUCUCUGACAGCCUCUGCAGCUCUUGGAACUUAUCUGGGCUGCUGCUGUGCAGACCAUGGAUGCAUAGCUGAGUUCCUGCCCCUGAUUUCCUAGAGUCUCAGAAAGACAGGGAAGUGACUUACCCAAAGUCCCCUUUCACCCUAUAAACAGUUCAGCCCAGGGAGUGAGGCUGACACGCAAAUGCAGCUAUGUAUAGACUCAGAGUCAUCCAAGGUCAGGGCUGGGUGGAGCCUUGGUCACAUGCAGGCCAACCUGUGUCUGGAGAUAAUGCAAGCCAGUGCAGGGGUUAGCGUGUACAUGGACUCUGGAGUCUGGCAGAUCUAAGCCCCACCCACCAACCUGUGACCUUGGAGAAUUAUUUGAAAAGACAUUAUUUGAAAAGCAGAUGUAAAAUGGAAAUAAAAGUUCCUAUUUAAAACA
rnacentral:lncRNA from 1 species